ensembl:lncRNA
AGUUGUAAUCUGGCAGAAUGAUCAUUAAGGCUUCAGGUUAACAAUAUAAUAGGGCUGAGCCAUAAGAACAAAAUAAUACCACAUAUCUGUAUGUACCUCGAUAAUGACAGAUAAAUCUUUGAAUCAUUAAAAUACAUAUUCAAAAUUUCCAGAGAACCUAGAGGGUAGUUAAAAUUAUGUUGUUUUUAAACUACCCUCAUAGUCAGUAAAAGGGUUCAGUUAUCAACCUUAUGUGAUGCUUGUUACCUUGAUUCUAUAUUAGACCAGGAAUCACUUUCACCUUUGUUAAUAAGUGCACACUCAACUAAAAACAAAGCAAAAAUAGGACAAUUUUAUCUCACCAAACAAAUAUGAAACUGUCUCUGACUUGUGUUAACCCAGAAAGUUCUUUCAGUCCCUUUGCCAAAACCCUGUUCAGAUUCUGGUCACUUUUCAGCCACAUGGCUCAGCAAAGCUAACUGAUACGGGGAUUGUAACGCUGGGUCAAUAUAUUUAAGACUGUUCCUCCAGACAUUAAGGGUUUUAGUUUAGAUUUUAAAGGUAAAAUCCAGUCAAACUAUGUCUGCAGCAGAGAAAAAGUGGUUACCGAAGGUUAGAAGUCUUCUCUUUGAUAUGCAUUUAUUAUAUAAUGUGACUGCAGUAUGAGUAAUAUAUUAAUUAAUUCCACCAACACAACUUGAAAGCCUAAUUUACUGAUUGUCCUUUACUGGAAUUUUAACCUCAGGCCUUUUUAUUCAAAGGAAAUGUGAUGACCUGAUGUUACCUUUAAAGAUUUUUCACAGUUGGUCAACUGUAAUUCCCAUGCAGUUAUACAGAAGAUAAACAUCUCACUAAGAAAGGUAGUUUGCUACCUGCAAAUAUACAGGUUUAAGACAUGAUAAUCCUGCUCCUCUGGCCAAUUACAUUGAGCUGGUCCUAUACAGUGCAUACUGAAUGACGCUCUACAUCUGACCACCAACACGGAGACGAUUUGGUUAAAAGUCUGUUUGUUUCUGUUAAAUCAAAAUGUGUACUACAUGAACUGCAUGUGGAGGCUGUGCGAGGUUAUGGCUGCCUCUUUUGUUGACUGUCCUCAGCCCCGUUCCCCUGUAAGCACCACAUCUGAUCCCAAAUCAGCUCCUGUAGCAUGCCCACUGUCUCGUACUUUUCUCCUCCAAACAUCAAACUAAUGUCUCAUUAAUUAAAGGGCUUAUUAAGAUAUACAACACAUUCGAAAACGCCCAAAUUGUUAGCAGGCAAAGGGUAUUAAAAAAAAAAAAAAAUGAAGCGACAACGAAACGUGGCUCAUUUCCUACUUUGUAAACUCAUACAACUUCAACACAAAGGCAUUUACUGGCUGUUACUGGAGAGGGGGAACAGAAACAAAUCCAGAGAGAGGAGCACGUCAUUGUUUGUGUGAGCACUAAUAGCAUUUCCUGAUAAUCGUCUAAGUCAGCUGACACUUUGGUUUAUUUUAUUAAAUGUCGACCAGUGUGUGAACAGAAAGGAAUGGCGUGACCUUAAGGGCUGACUUCUUCUUUAGUUUCUGGUUCUACUUUGUGUCUUUUUGAUGGCUGUGAGAUCAGGUGUCUGAUAAAGACAAGCAGAUAUAGCUGGAAGCAUUUGUUCUUUUCCACUCUAAAGUGUGUUUAUUACUUAUAUGAGAUGUCCAAUCUGAUAUCUGAUGUCAAGAGUUUUAUUAUACACCUUAUAUGAAGAUUUAAAAUUAAUCAUUAUUCACACCAUGUCUAUAUAGAAAGUAUAUUGGCUUAUUUUGACACUUGCUGUUUAGACCCUGCCCCGCUCCUGCUUGCAUGAAAUACACAACUGCUCAUUUGGCACAGCGCACCCAUGCCCAUCUUGAAUGACUGCAUUCAGUGAUAGAAAACUGCUGCUAUACCAAUGGCCACCAGUAGAUGGAAAUCUAUUUAUUCUUUUACUCUGAUACUGCUGCUGACGACCGACUACACAGGAACUGUCUGAAAUACAGGGAUCAGGAAGGCUGUGGAAGAAAAUGUGAAUCCCCACUCAUCUGUGGGUAACAGUGUGCUGUUGUGUGUGUGUGUGUGUGUGUGUGUGUGUGUGUGUGUGUGUGUGUACCACUGCCUAAAUGCAUAUACAUAGAUGUGUGUCCAUCUCUACUUGCUGCAUGUUCUCUGGAGAACUCAUCGGCGUUGCCAUGACCUUGGGGCUGCGGGACAGAUGUGGCAAACCACCACUGUCUUCUGACGCACAGGGAGCCGCUACAUUAGCCGUCCCAUCACUCAGCGCAGCCUUGAAGCUGCAUGAAUUGUAGUAUGAAACCAUUGUAGUGUACAGUGUGUAAUAACUGCAUUAUUGCCCCAAGACCCCAGAAACAGCCCAGGGAUGAUUUAUAUUCCCUUUGCCCCUAUUUUAACAGAAUACCCCCCAAUCCCCAAUAUGAAAUGAAGUAGAGGAUGGCAGACAGAGUGCAGAUAAGACCAUGAAGUAAAUGACAGUGACUGGUGCCAAAGCACUCCUUGUAUUGAGUAAAAUAAACCAAAUCGAUACACAACACAGUGCUUUAUAUAAUUAAAAGAGCAAAAGGAGGAAUACAGGGUCUGCCAGCGUUGCAGAAAUGUGCCAUGUUAGCAAUAUAUGAUUGCGCCUCGCGAUGGUCACGCAACCCUCGUCACCAGCACACACCAGAGAUCUCAUAUAAGCGGCGUAUGUGUGGUUUCACUCUGCGUCUCAUGCCACCAGUCACAGUGUGAUGUAACAGCCAUCACAAGCCAACUGUUGUUCAUACAAAUAAGCCUGCAUUCACAAGUCAUGCAGAGAGCAUGUCUGCUUUACAUGCACUAAUGCGUCCUCACUGUGGUUGCAUGGGUGCGAAUGCUGUGCGUAUGUGUUGUCCAUCGCUGCCCUUCACACACGUUUGCACCAAGGAUUGGCAAUUUUUUUGUGCGCAAGAUUCCUUCCAAAACGAUAAUAGAAUUAGAUUCAACUGAAGUAAAUCUCUGAUUUGACUUUUGUUAGUAAUGCAGGCAUGCACGCAGCAGUUACUCUGUGAUGAUUUAUUUAUUUAUUUACGUUUCAGUUUGUCAAUUUUUUACUGCAUUAUACUGAGAAGAAAUUGCGUAGGGUCCUAUAGAUUCAGUCUAGAUCCCCGACAAUGGUCUGUAGCAGUCGUAGAGUAUGGUCUGUCACAUUCCAUAACACACUACAAAACUGAUUUUGUGUUUAACCCCUGCACAUAUAGACUAUGUAUGCCUCUUGCCCCCACCCCCCUGUGCACCCAGCACCAAAUGGUAUGUACACUAAUAUUUGCCCUCUUUCACUCUUUCUCAGCCUCUCUCUGUUUUCACAAUAGUUCUGUUCUCUAUCCUGUGGAUCUAUGCAGAAGCCCAUUCCUUUUUUGGUUGUAAAUACGUUCCCUAGUAUGCUGAACAAUGUAUGUCUCUCCUUGUGUAUUUUGAGUUGAUGUCAUGCUGUUACUUUCUUCUUCUUCUUCUCCUUCUUCUAAUCCUUUUUCUUUAAUUUGAGCGUCUGAAAUCAUUGAUGUUAAAAGAGAAUGUGGUGAGGUUUAACCAAUAGACUCGUCCUCAGCUUCGCAACCUUAUUGUGAAAGGUUGUGGUUCUGUGUGUGUGAAAGCGAAAGAUUUAUGAUUAUAGAAAUGAAAAAGGUUCAAAGGCAUAUAGAAGUAUCAUUGCGAUUAUGAUUAUUAUGAUUACUAUUAUACUACCAGUAUAUUGUAAUAUUAUAGAUGCUUUAGUUCAAGUAACUUCUUUAAUUUUUUUACAAACAACUUUGAUGAAAUGAUUUAUAAAACAGUCUCACAAGUCAUGAUCUUUUCGAAAAGUAUGAAAACUACUGCUACAAUGAUUAAAAUUGUGUUCUGAUGAAAAUAAAUACAGAC